rnacentral:lncRNA from 1 species
UGUGACUUGACCCUGCCUGCUGGAGCCAGGCACAAACUAGAGCCUAGUCCUCCUCUCCAGGGACUGGAGGCUGUGGAGGUGAGAGAGCAUGGUAGCUGGUGCAGAGCCUCUGCCAGGGGGUUAGGAGCACACAGAACUUGCUUGUAUGCUCACUGGGCCAUUGCUCUUGGCCAAAGAAACCCCUUGGCUUCUUUUUGCUCCUUCUAGGUUGCCUCGUCUACUCUCCACAGACAGGACAGAGUGGACACCGAGUUGUUCCUUGGCAGAGCAGGGCUGUCUGGAGAGGAAGCACUGUCUCCCAGCUGGCCUGGCUUCAGACUCUCAGAAGGUGUUCCUCCCAUGGUCGCCAAUUGACUCACCAAUUAGGCAGUGACUGAGAAACAGCCGCAUGCAGGAUUCCUCCAAGAGACUAGCCUGGAUGGGACAGCCUGCAGCCUUGAAAGAAGAGCAGUCUAUGACUUUACCACAGAAGGAUACCCCAGCCUAAGACUCCUACUUCUGUUUUUAGCCAGUGUUUUUCAGGACUCUUGAUUAUAUAUUGGUCACAGUCUGUUUCUUAUUCUUCAUCUUCAACAUCUGAAUUGAGAGCACUCCAGCUUACUGGACCAUUGUAUUCACCCACACAGCAGCAGCAUAUCAUGACUGGACCCAUAGGCACCACUGCACUGAGAGCUCCUAGAAGCCUGAGCCUGACUCCCCAGCUCCCUAGCCCCGCCCUCCACCCAGCUUCUGGGCAUGCCAUGUAGACCAAAGCGUCUUUUUCUCUUCCCACACACUUUUUAUCCCUUGAGCUCUGUGCUCAAAAUACUUCUAGCCACCACCCACCGCUCAAAGCCCACAUUAGCCUUCUCUUGGGUCAGUGCAGAAGCCUCCAGACACUUUCUUUUCAACCUUGCAGCCAAGAGUGUCUUACCGGCACCCAGUCAGAGAUCACAGCCAUCUUUUGUGCCAAACCCUACCAUGGUGCUUGUCAUACACAGCAGACGUAGGAGUUCUUCAAUGGCCACUCAUAGCCCUGCAGGAUUCUUCUUUAGUUCUUACCUCUCAUCCGGAACCAGCAUCCCUUCAGCCAGACAGCAAGCCAGCCCUCCUCCUCCCUGUUCUCUUUAAUAUAUCAUUGUGUUCUCACCUCGGGGCCGUUGUACUCCCUGUGGCUUCUACCUGCAAUAUUCUUCCCUUGGAGAGACGCACAAGCAACCCCUUCACCCCUUUGAAGCCUUGGCUUGGCUUCACCUUCCCAGCGAAACACUCCCUUCCCUCCACCCUGCCUUCUCCACGCCCUUUCCUUACUUUAAUUCUUCACUUUCUGCCCUCCAUUCUGUGUAACCACUUUGUUUCUUAUCUGUUACCCCUGACUUGGCUGACAGCUCAGUGAGGAGACACUUUGUGCUUAUUUCCAACUGUCUCCUCAGUGCCCAGUGCCUCCUGUCAUGCCUGGCAUCUGUCAGCCACCCAAAGGAGCAGUCCAGGUGAUUCGGGAGCCCUGCUCAGAUCUUGGCACUCGGCCCCUCGUUGGCCUUGUUUUCCUUGUCUGUAGCCGAACAGGAUCUUAUUGUGGGUCCUUUCUGGAGACUCCCAUUGAAGCAUGGUAUAUUUGAAGAUGCUGGCCUCAAAGCAGAAGUCCAAUCCACAGCUCCCUCCACAGUCUCAUCCCUGCCUUAUAUCAGGAGGGGUUUGAACACAGGGAUGUGUUUACACCUAAUAUUGUUGACCCUCUCUAGUCCCCGCAGACAACAAAAUGUCUCUGGCACCCCUUUGGAGUUGGUGCCACCACCCCUGCCUUGAUUAUAGUUUAAAAGGCUGGGUAGGAAUGCCUGGCUCCAGGGCCUUUGCUCAUGUGACUGGCAAGCACUGUCUGGCCAAGCCAGGGACCUAAAAU